ACAUGCCUACAACAUAUCAUUAAUGCACGAGAUCCCAUUAGAACUCUGCAGUUAAGUGUGCUUAGGCUAGAGUAGUACUGGGAUGGGUGAUCACUUAGGAAGUCCUAUUGUUUUACAUGCA
rnacentral:rRNA from 1 species